AGUUUUGAGCUAAAUAUAUUUAUAAUAUUAGUUAUUUAUGAAGGUGUUGUAAAAUCUUUAUUUAAAUUAUAUUUAGGGGUGAUAGGCCUUCAAAAACUAAGAUAUCUUGAAUCUAAUUAAAAGUAUGUAGUACAAUUAACACAACUAUUAAGUGAUUAGGCUUUAUAGAAUUAUUAACUUAUAAGAUUUUAUUUACUAUAAUUUAAUAAUUAAGUACAUAAAUAUAUUAAUAUUCAUAUAUUAUAGUUUAUAAAAGAGUAAUUAGAUAGAUUUAAGUUCAUAUUUCUUAUAAUAAUGUUAAUAUUAGUAUUAAGUUUAUAUUUAUAUGAUGAACUCGGCAAAAAUACUUUCUCAACUGUUUAUCAAAAACAUAACUAUGUGAUUGAAUACAUAGCGGUUUCUGCUCAA
rnacentral:rRNA from 1 species